UACAGAGGUCCCAAGCGUUGUUCGGAUUCACUGGGCGUAAAGGGUGCGUAGGUGGUCAGGUAAGUCUGAUGUGAAAUCUCCGGGCUCAACCCGGAAAUUGCAUUGGAAACUAUCUGACUGGAGGAGUGGAGGGGGGACUGGAAUACUUGGUGUAGCAGUGAAAUGCGUAGAUAUCAAGUGGAACACCAGUGGCGAAGGCGAGUCCCUGGACACUUCCUGACACUGAGGCACGAAAGCUAGGGGAGCAAACAGG
rnacentral:rRNA from 1 species